rnacentral:rRNA from 1 species
UACAGAGACUGCAAGCGUUAUUCGGAUUCACUGGGCGUAAAGGGUGCGCAGGCGGUUGGGUGUGUCAGAUGUGAAAUCCCGAGGCUUAACCUCGGAACUGCGUCUGAAACUACUCGACUAGAGUACUGGAGAGGGAAACGGAAUUCACGGUGUAGCAGUGAAAUGCGUAGAUAUCGUGAGGAACACCGGUGGCGAAGGCGGCAUCCUGGACCAACACUGACGCUGAGUGAGCGAAAGCCAGGGGAGCAAACGGG